rnacentral:rRNA from 1 species
CGUCGAUCCGUCGCGACAGCGGGACGGUGGUCAUGGAAGUCGAAAUCCGCUAAGAAGUGUAGUAAAAACUUACCUUUCGAAUUAAGUUGCCCUAGAAAAUGGAUGGCGCUUAAGCUAAUUUAAAAAAUUAUUUUAUAAUAUCUUUACUUAGACUUUACUAUUAAAAUUUAACUUGAUUUUAAUAUGUAGGAGGAUUGCGUUAAAAAAAUUAUAUCAGUAUUGAAAAUCUUGAUGAAAAAAAGAUUGAAACUUUUUUAAGUGCAGAUCUUGGCUGUAGUAGCAAAUAUUUAAGUUGAAAUCUUAAAGACUGAAGUAGAGAAAGGUUCCAUAUGAACAGUAAUUGAAUAUGGGUAAGUCGAUACCUAAAAAAUAAUUUAAUUAUGUUUAAUCAAUAACGAAAAAGAAUAUUUUUUGUAUGUAUUAUUUUGAAAGGGAAAAAGGUUAAAAAUUCCUUUACCAUUUUUUUA